rnacentral:rRNA from 1 species
UACGGGGGGAGCAAGCGUUGUUCGGAUUUACUGGGCGUAAAGGGCGCGUAGGCGGUCAGCACAAGUCAGUUGUGAAAUCUCCGGGCUUAACUCGGAAAGGUCAACUGAUACUGUGCGACUAGAGUGCGGAAGGGGCAACUGGAAUUCUUGGUGUAGCGGUGAAAUGCGUAGAUAUUGGGAAGAACACCUGAGGCGAAGGCGGGUUGCUGGGCUGACACUGACGCUGAGGCGCGAAAGCCAGGGGAGCGAACGGG